GUUGUAAUUAAAAUAUGAAACAAUCCACUAUUACAGACCGAUGCGCCCAUAAUAAACUGAGGAAUUACAUUUUGUGGAACUAAUCUGAUAGCAAAGUCUCUAGUCGGACAGGUUUUGGUACAGGACUUCACUCUUUUUUGUUUUGAGAUGGGCUAGCUACAAAAAUGUUAACCCUACCGCUUUGUUAUUUUGUCUAAAAAUAACAAGUUAAAGAUAUAUGUUGUUGUAACAAUGGUAGAAAAUAUGGCAGCGUUUGCAGAGCGUUUGAAGCAAGAACUGACAAACAACAUACCCGCACAUUGAUUCGGUACCGGUACCCCUGUAUAUAGACUCGUUAUUGUUAUUUUAUUGUGUUACUUUUUUCCUUCCGUUUUCAUAUAUAUUUUUGAAAAUAAUUUCUUAACUACUUUUAAAAACAGUUCUGCAUUGUUGGUUAAGGGCUUGUACAGUAUUGGCCAAAAGUUUUGAGAAUGACACAAAUAUUAAUUUUCACAAAGUCUGCUGCCUCAGUUUGUAUGAUGGCAAUUUGCAUAUACUCCAGAAUGUUAUGAAGAGUGAUCAGAUGGAUUGCAAUUAAUUGCAAAGUCCCUCUUUGCCAUGCAAAUGAACUGAAUCACCAAAAAACAUUUCCACUGCAUUUCAGCCCUGCCACAAAAGGACCAGCUAACAUCAUGUCAGUGAUUCUCUCGUUAACACAGGUGUGAGUGUUGACGAUGACAAGGCUGGAGAUCACUUUGUCAUGCUGAUUGAGUUUGAAUAACAGACUGGAAGCUUCAAAAGGAGGGUGGUGCUUGGAAUCAUUGUUCUUCCUCUGUCAACCAUGGUUACCUGCAAGGAAACACGUGCCGUCAUCACUGCUUUGCACAAAAAGGGCUUCACAGGCAAGGAUAUUGCUGCCAGUAAGAUUGCACCUAAAUCAACCAUUUAUCGGAUCAUCAAGAACUUCAAGGAGAGCGGUUCAAUUGUUGUGAAGGCUUCAGGGCGCCCAACAAAGUCCAGCAAGCGCCAGGACCGUCUCCUAAAGUUGAUUCAGCUGCGGGAUCGGGUCACCACCAGUACAGAGCUUGCUCAGGAUUGGCAGCAGGCAGGUGUGAGUGCAUCUGCACGCACAGUGAGGCAAAGACUUUUGGAGGAUGUUCUGGUGUCAAGAAGGGCAACAAAGAAGCCACUUCUCUCCAGGAAAAACAUCAGGGACGGACUGAUAUUCUGCAAAAAGGUACAGGGAUUGGACUGCUGAGGACUGGGGUAAAGUUAUUUUCUCUGAUGAAUCCCCUUUCCGAUUGUUUGGGGCAUUCGGAAAAAAGCUUGUCCGGAGAAGACAAGGUGGGCGCUACCAUCAGUCCUGUGUCAUGCCAACAGUAAAGCAUCCUGAGACCAUUCAUGUGUGGGGUUGCUUCUCAGCCAAGGGAGUGGGCUCACUCACAAUUUUGCCUAAGAACACAGCCAUGAAUAAAGAAUGUUACCAACACAUCCUCCGAGAGCAACUUCUCCCAACCAUCCAGGAACAGUUUGGUGAUGAACAAUGCCUUUUCCAGCAUGAUGGAGCACCUUGCUAUAAGGCAAAAGUGAUAACUAAGUGGCUCGGGGAACAAAAUAUCGAUGUUUUGGGUCCAUGGCCAGGAUACUCCCCAGACCUUAAUCCCAUGGAGAACUUGUGGUCAAUCCUCAAGAGGCGGGUGGACAAACAAAAACCCAACAAAUUCUUACAAACUCCAAGCAUUGAUUAUGCAAGAAUGGGCUGCCAUCAGUAAGGAUGUGGCCCAGAAGUUAAUUGACAGCAUGCCAGGGCAGAUUACAGAGGUCUUGAAAAAUACUGUAACUGUCAAUAAAAGUCUUUGACACUUAUGAAAUGCUUGUAAUUAUACUUCAGUAUUCCAUAGUAACAUCUGACAAAAAUAUAUAAAGACAAUGAAGCAGCAAACUUCGUGGAAAUUCAUAUUUGUGUCAUUCUCAAAACUUUUGGCCACGACUUGUUGUAUUCGGUGUAUGUGACAAAUACAAUUUGAUUUCAUAUAAACGACGAGCAACCGAACUCCAAUGGUGACUCUCUUGGCCAACCAAGUCGGGAGGACUCUGAAAAUAAGAUGUUUUGUGAAAACGUAAGUGGACCAGAAAGAAGACAGAAGCAUGUGUCAUCUGCAACUUUACAGGGGAACAGUGAACGAGAAGAGGACCAACCACAAUGUAUCGAUAGCCCGAGGGCUUUCUUGGUGGAAGGACCAGUCCCUUGUUGGAGAGGAUUCAAGAGGAGAGGAUACGAAGGAAGAGACAAUACCACAGUGUGAAAGUUAACAAGGCAAACAAAUUGGUGGAUCAAUUCAAUCAAGACCUGGUUCCACGGCGUGGGCCGUCCUGACGUAGGACGAUGUGUUGUCAUUUAGGAUGUGUCUGGAGAAUGGUUAUCACCACGGUACCGCUGUCUCUGACUCCCCCUGUUGGAAGAACACACUACGAGACUGCAGGAACUCUGAGAACACUGUGCGCUCCAACUGGGAGAAUCGUGUUGGAUCAAUCAGCUAACUGCAGUAUGACCUUUGAGAAGGUGCUGUGUGACAUCAGUUCCUGUGACAGCUAUGUUGUUGCCGAUGAGGCUGGGGCCCACAGGGAGUGGUCUGAUUAAAUUCUCCUCUGGCGCCGGUGAACUCUGGCUGGAUCCCAAAAGGCACUCUAUUCCCUACGUACAGAGACAGAGGGCUGCCUGCUGCAGCAAAUUGUAUUCACCCAGAAUAUCAUGUCUUCCCCCUCAGGAGGCUGAAAAUAUUUGGCAUAGGCCCUUAGAUCCUCAAAAAGUAUUACAGCUACACCAUCGAGAGCAUCUUUACUGGCUGCAUCACCACUUGGUAUGGUAAAUGCACCACCCUUGACUGCAAAGUGCUACAUAGGGUGAUGCGGACAGCCUAGCACAUCGCUGGGCCGAGUUCCGUGCCAUCCAGGACCUCUAUAUCAGGCGGUGCCAGAGGAAGGCUCGAAGAAUUGCCAAAGACUCCAGCCACCUAGUCAAAAGUUUGGACACACCUUCUCAUUCAAGGGUUUUUCUUUAUUUUUACUAUUGUCUACGUUGUAGAAUAAUAGUGAAGACAUCAAAACUAUGAAAUAACACAUAUGGAAUCAUGUAGUAACCAAAAAGUGUUAAAUAAAUAUAUUUUAUAUUUGAGAUUCUUCAAAGUGGCCACCCUUUGCCAUGAUGACAGCUUUGCACACUUGGCAUUCUCUCAACCAGCUUCAUGAGGUAGUCACCUGGAAUGGAUUUCAAUUAACAAUUGAGCCUUGUUAAACAUCAUUUGCUGCUGUGCCUCUGUUCUUUAUUUUACUCUUAUUAUCAUCUUUCCUGAUGUCUUGUCACUUUACCCUGCCUUCAUGUACAUAUCAACCUCAAAUACCUUAUUAUUAUCUGUCCUGAUGCCUAGUCACUUUACCCUGCCUUCAUGUACAUAUCAACCUCAAAUACCUUAUUAUUAUCUGUCCUGAUGCCUAGUCACUUUACCUUGCCUUCAUGUACAUAUCAACCUCAAACAGCUUAUUAUUAUCUGUCCUGAUGCCUAGUCACUUUACCUUGCCUUCAUGUACAUAUCAACCUCAAAUAGCUUAUUAUUAUCUAUCCUGAUGCCUAGUCACUUUACCCUGCCUUCAUGUACAUAUCAACCUCAAAUACCUUAUUAUUAUCUGUCCUGAUGCCUUGUCACUUUACCCUGCCUUCAUGUACAUAUCUACCUCAAAUACCUUAUUAUUAUCUGUCCUGAUGCUUAGUCACUUUACCCUGUCUUCAUGUACAUGUCUACCUCAAAUACCUCGUACACAUGCACAUUGAUCUGGUACUGGUACUCCCUGUAUAUAGCUUCACAUUCAUCUGGUAGUGGUAUUCUCUGUAUAUAGCUUCACAUUGAUCUGGUACUUGUACUCCCUGUAUAUAGCUUCACAUUCAUCUGGUAGUGGUAUUCUCUGUAUAUAGCUUCACAUUCAUCUGGUACUUGUACUCCCUGUAUAUAGCUCCACAUUGAUCUGGUACUGGUAUUCUCUGUAUAUAGCUCCACAUUGAUCUGGUACUGGUAUUCCCUGUAUAUAGCUUCACAUUGAUCUGGUACUGGUACUCCCUGUAUAUAGCUCCACAUUGAUCUGGUACUCCCUGUAUAUAGCUCCACAUUGAUCUGGUACUCCCUGUAUAUAUCUCCACAUUGAUCUGGUACUCCCUGUAUAUAGCUCCACAUUGAUCUGGUACUCCCUGUAUAUAGCUUUACAUUGA